UUUACACAUUAUCCCUCAGACCUAUUUACUUUGGCCUCAAGCUUUUUCUUAUUGACUUAAGAGUCAGAUACUCAUGACUUUUGAUGUGCACGAAAGAACAAACUGGACUGGAACACGUCUGUUUUUGGUUUCAGCACCCCUCUCUUUUGAGAACUACCAUCCUUGAAGGUGUAUGGCUUCAUCUUGUUUUCUUUAGGUGCUUGGGACCAUUCACUGUGAAUAUGCAAGCUCAUUUAUUUAUGACCCUUCAGAUCACAACUCUGUUCUCUGCAUUUCAAGGCAGGCUUUCUCCAUGUGGUGACAAAAAUGGCUGCAGUGAGCCCAAGACUCCUCUGUUUUCUGCUGAAUAAUUGCAGCCCAAAGAGACCAUCCCCUUCUAUUUGAGCAAAGUCUUGAGGUUGAUUCUCAUUGGACCUCUUUGGGUCACAUGUCACGCCUCAACCACUGAACCACUUACUUUCUACAAGGGAAUGGACCAUGCUAACUGGUCAAACUGGUGGGCUCUUAUCCCCUAGAAAAACAUGGUGUGGAAGGUGAUGGUGAGAGGUGAUCCAUCAACUCAUGUGGUUCAAGAGAGAGUGGGGGGCAGGGCUUCCAGAGGAAUAUCAGGUGCUGUUAUUAGAAAGGAGAACAGUUAUGGGCAGGCAAAACCAGCAGUUACCAUUACAACAGCGUUUUUCAAUCCCACAGUACACUGCAGUCACCUGGGGGAACUUUCAGACAAGACCACCACCAGUAGUGAUCUACUUGGUCUGAGGUGUGGCCUGGGCAUCAGUAGUGGUUUAAACUCUCCAGGUCAUUCUAACAAACAGCUAAGUCAAAGAUUGCUGCAGUAGGGCUAUUAAUAGCUAAUUAAGCCUUAACCCUGGGGAAUUCCUUGAAGUGCUAUCCAUCACUCUAAAGGACUGCAUCUCUCAGGGUAGAGUUUUAAACACUGGAGAAAGGAGUCUGUGUGGUGCAGUAGAUGUGGGAGUGAACUGGGGUAGACAGACAGGAAGCUCUGAUUGCCCCCAAUUCGAACUACAUUAGCAACCAUCUGCUCUGUACACAAGCUGCCAGCUGUGAUCACGGCAAAAAUUAAAUUUUGAGAAACCUUUUGGUCUCCAAA